GCUGCUGGCUAAGGGAGUCACUGUUGUUUCAAAAACCUAUCAAAAUCGGGUAGAUCAAUAGGGCUGGUGCAGGCGUAGACAUUUAUGUGUAUGCUGUACAAUGAUAUGACAGCCUUUUUUCGUUUAACCUGAAAUGCUCACGGCGUACAAGGUACUGGAAAAGUUGGGGAGCACUGACAUCUCUGUCCUUUGCCAGUACAAAAAUACUGACAGAGAGCAAUGGACCAUUAUGGACAGUAUGUAUCUGGUUUGUUUGUUCUCAGUUUGUACACUGGGAUAGUUUAAAAGGGUAACUGAGUCAGUGAGACUUCCUGAAGGAGAAGGAAGAUGACCUCUUUCCUUAGAAACAUCUGGGCACAGCUGGAGAGGGAAAGUUCCGGAGAUUGACGUGUGUAGAAGAAGAAUGGAAACAGGAGCUGGGAGCCUGCUGGUAAAGCAGAGAGAUUCCUAAGAGGAGCAGGAAACAUCCAUAGGGUCAUCUCCACUACAGGAAAAAAGUGUAUGUCGACCCAUCUCAAGAUCCAGUGCACACUGGCUUCUUCUCAGAAAUCUAGCUCACAGUAACUCUUCUGAAUUCUGCAUACGAGUUUUGCACCUUCUGGCUCAGGGAUAAUGAAAUACAGGCUUUCAGCUUUUCUUGUUUUGCUUUUUGAGAAAACAUAUCCUGCUUGUUUUCGUAAGCUUUUAAAAGUGUUCAGAAGUGUUUAAAAAUGGCACGUGGCAGUGUACCAAAUUAACAUGGUAGGCAUAAUGAGUGUUAUCAUAUUUAUGUCUUACAUAUUACCUCCACCUUGAUAUCUCCUUUUUUUGAAGGAAAAAGCCUAUCAAGACUUAUCAUUUAAUAAAACAGUAAUUGCAGCAGUUGCUUUCUUUGGUACAAUCUAGAAAAGGAUGAAUGGGUCAGGAGAGCAAAAGAGCCUCUAAAUUCAACAUACCCAUGGGUAUUUCAGUAGGGAGGGUCUAUUAACUUCUUUGCUGUAUUGAGAAUUGUUUGGUCCAUGUUCUAGCACCAUAUUCUAUGUAUAAUAGAGUAUUCUUGAUAAUUCUUCACUGUAAGUUUUGCUCUACCAGUAACCGUCUUUGAAGCAGUGUAUGUGUGAGCCAGUACCGUAACCCU